UGCCCCGGAGCGGGGGAUAACAUUUGGAAACAGAUGCUAAUACCGCAUAACAACAAAAGCCACAUAGCUUUUGUUGAAAGAUGGCUUUGGCUAUCACUCUGGGAUGGACAUGCGGUGCAUUAGCUAGUUGGUAAGGUAACGGCUUACCAAGGGCGAUGAUGCAUAGCCGAGUUGAGAGACUGAUCGGCCACAAUGGAACUGAGACACGGUCCAUACUCCUACGGGAGGCAGCAGUAGGGAAUCUUCCACAAUGGGCGCAAGCCUGAUGGAGCAACACCGCGUGAGUGAAGAAGGGUUUCGGCUCGUAAAGCUCUGUUGUUGGAGAAGAACGUGCGUGAGAGUAACUGUUCACGCAGUGACGGUAUCCAACCAGAAAGUCACGGCUAACUACGUGCCAGCAGCCGCGGUAAUACGUAGGUGGCAAGCGUUAUCCGGAUUUAUUGGGCGUAAAGCGAGCGCAGGCGGUUGCUUAGGUCUGAUGUGAAAGCCUUCGGCUUAACCGAAGAAGUGCAUCGGAAACCGGGCGACUUGAGUGCAGAAGAGGACAGUGGAACUCCAUGUGUAGCGGUGGAAUGCGUAGAUAUAUGGAAGAACACCAGUGGCGAAGGCGGCUGUCUGGUCUGCAACUGACGCUGAGGCUCGAAAGCAUGGGUAGCGAACAGGAUUAGAUACCCUGGUAGUCCAUGCCGUAAACGAUGAGUGCUAGGUGUUGGAGGGUUUCCGCCCUUCAGUGCCGGAGCUAACGCAUUAAGCACUCCGCCUGGGGAGUACGACCGCAAGGUUGAAACUCAAAUGAAUUGACGG
rnacentral:rRNA from 1 species